UGACCACAGAUGUUCCCUUCUAUAAUUCCUUCCCCUCCUGUCUCUCUUCAGCAUAUGACCACAGAUGUUCCCUUCUCCUAUAAUUCCUUCCCCUCCUGUCUCUCUCUGGCAUAUGACCACAGAUGUUCCCUUCUCCUAUAAUUCCUUCCCCUCCUGUCUCUCUUCAGCAUAUGACCACAGAUGUUCCCUUCUCCUAUAAUUCCUUCCCCUCCUGCCUCUCUUCAGCAUAUGACCACAGAUGUUCCCUUCUCCUAUGAUUCCUUCCCCUCCUGCCUCUCUUCAGCAUAUGACCACAGAUGUUCCCUUCUCCUAUGAUUCCUUCCCCUCCUGCCUCUCUUCAGCAUAUGACCACAGAUGUUCCCUUCUCCUAUAAUUCCUUCCCCUAUAAUUCCUUCCCCUCCUGUCUCUCUUCAGCAUAUGACCACAGAUGUUCCCUUCUCCUAUAAUUCCUUCCCCUCCUGUCUCUCUCUGGCAUAUGACCACAGAUGUUCCCUUCUCCUAUAAUUCCUUCCCCUCCUGUCUCUCUUCAGCAUAUGACCACAGAUGUUCCCUUCUCCUAUAAUUCCUUCCCCUCCUGCCUCUCUUCAGCAUAUGACCACAGAUGUUCCCUUCUCCUAUGAUUCCUUCCCCUCCUGCCUCUCUUCAGCAUAUGACCACAGAUGUUCCCUUCUCCUAUGAUUCCUUCCCCUCCUGCCUCUCUUCAGCAUAUGACCACAGAUGUUCCCUUCUCCUAUAAUUCCUUCCCCUCCUGUCUCUCUUCAGCAUAUGACCACAGAUGUUCCCUUCUCCUAUAAUUCCUUCCCCUCCUGUCUCUCUUCAGCAUAUGACCACAGAUGUUCCCUUCUCCUAUAAUUCCUUCCCCUCCUGUCUCUCUCUGGCAUAUGACCACAGAUGUUCCCUUCUCCUAUAAUUCCUUCCCCUCCUGUCUCUCUUCAGCAUAUGACCACAGAUGUUCCCUUCUCCUAUAAUUCCUUCCCCUCCUGUCUCUUGCUGGCAUAUGACCACAGAUGUUCCCUUCUCCUAUAAUUCCUUCCCCUCCUGUCUCUCUUCAGCAUAUGACCACAGAUGUUCCCUUCUCCUAUAAUUCCUUCCCCUCCUGUCUCUCUCUGGCAUAUGACCACAGAUGUUCCCUCCUAUAAUUCCUUCCCCUCCUGUCUCUUGCUGGCAUAUGACCACAGAUGUCACUAAACCAGACUUUCCUUCCACCCAUGAAAACCUGGUUAACUUUGUCUGUGUAAACAGUGGUAAUGGGAGCCCUAUAUGUUAAAGAAGAUACAGUCAUGCUGGAGGUAGUUUUAAAAUGUUUCUGCACCUUGAACAGUAACAUGGAUACCUAGUGACUAUUCUCUGUGGCGGCCUUGGGAAGCAAUGCCAGGAAAAUGAUUAUUAUGUUGGUAAAGAUAGGAGAGUUUGUAAAUAUUUGACCCUGUGUCUCAGCAAGGCUCUGACCCUGACCCCUGUGUGGACCCUCUGGUGGUAGUGACUGUGUGGAAGGAAGGAAGGAAGGAAGGAAGGGUUGAAAGUUUAAAGGAAUUUAAUAUUAUAUGUAAAAUGCAUCUUCAGGUUGACACAAAUACUAAUUCCUUACUUAUAUUAUAGAUGAAAGAGGAAGAGGAAGAGGAGGAGGAGGAGGACACAGGAAUUUCUUGAAUUGAAUGGCUGGCGUCUCGGUCUGCCUGCCUGCGGGACACCGCACACUCUGGAAGAAGAAAGAACACCAAGAUGUCAAGUUCCUGCAUAAUCAGCCUCUUAGUGAAGGAAAUGUGCUCUAUUUAUUUAAUAAAUGAUUGACAAAAAAAUAA